UUAAGUUAUUAAGGGCGCACGGUGGAUGCCUUGGCACUAGAAGCCGAUGAAGGACGUUACUAACGACGAUAUGCUUUGGGGAGCUGUAAGUAAGCUUUGAUCCAGAGAUUUCCGAAUGGGGAAACCCAGCAUGAGUUAUGUCAUGUUAUCGAUAUGUGAAUACAUAGCAUAUCAGAAGGCACACCCGGAGAACUGAAACAUCUUAGUACCCGGAGGAAGAGAAAGAAAAUUCGAUUCCCUUAGUAGCGGCGAGCGAAACGGGAAGAGCCCAAACCAACAAGCUUGCUUGUUGGGGUUGUAGGACACUCUAUACGGAGUUACAAAGGACGACAUUAGACGAAUCAUCUGGAAAGAUGAAUCAAAGAAGGUAAUAAUCCUGUAGUCGAAAAUGUUGUCUCUCUUGAGUGGAUCCUGAGUACGACGGAGCACGUGAAAUUCCGUCGGAAUCUGGGAGGACCAUCUCCUAAGGCUAAAUACUCUCUAGUGACCGAUAGUGAACCAGUACCGUGAGGGAAAGGUGAAAAGCACCCCGGAAGGGGAGUGAAAUAGAACCUGAAACCGUGUGCUUACAAGUAGUCAGAGCCCGUUAAUGGGUGAUGGCGUGCCUUUUGUAGAAUGAACCGGCGAGUUACGAUUUGAUGCAAGGUUAAGCAGUAAAUGUGGAGCCGUAGCGAAAGCGAGUCUGAAUAGGGCGUUUAGUAUUUGGUCGUAGACCCGAAACCAGGUGAUCUACCCUUGGUCAGGUUGAAGUUCAGGUAACACUGAAUGGAGGACCGAACCGACUUACGUUGAAAAGUGAGCGGAUGAACUGAGGGUAGCGGAGAAAUUUCAAUCGAACCUGGAGAUAGCUGGUUCUCUCCGAAAUAGCUUUAGGGCUAGCCUCAAGUGAUGAUUAUUGGAGGUAGAGCACUGUUUGGACGAGGGGCCCCUCUCGGGUUACCGAAUUCAGACAAACUCCGAAUGCCAAUUAAUUUAACUUGGGAGUCAGAACAUGGGUGAUAAGGUCCGUGUUCGAAAGGGAAACAGCCCAGACCACCAGCUAAGGUCCCAAAAUAUAUGUUAAGUGGAAAAGGAUGUGGCGUUGCCCAGACAACUAGGAUGUUGGCUUAGAAGCAGCCAUCAUUUAAAGAGUGCGUAAUAGCUCACUAGUCGAGUGACACUGCGCCGAAAAUGUACCGGGGCUAAACAUAUUACCGAAGCUGUGGAUUGUCCUUUGGACAAUGGUAGGAGAGCGUUCUAAGGGCGUUGAAGCAUGAUCGUAAGGACAUGUGGAGCGCUUAGAAGUGAGAAUGCCGGUGUGAGUAGCGAAAGACGGGUGAGAAUCCCGUCCACCGAUUGACUAAGGUUUCCAGAGGAAGGCUCGUCCGCUCUGGGUUAGUCGGGUCCUAAGCUGAGGCCGACAGGCGUAGGCGAUGGAUAACAGGUUGAUAUUCCUGUACCACCUAUAAUCGUUUUAAUCGAUGGGGGGACGCAGUAGGAUAGGCGAAGCGUGCGAUUGGAUUGCACGUCUAAGCAGUAAGGCUGAGUAUUAGGCAAAUCCGGUACUCGUUAAGGCUGAGCUGUGAUGGGGAGAAGACAUUGUGUCUUCGAGUCGUUGAUUUCACACUGCCGAGAAAAGCCUCUAGAUAGAAAAUAGGUGCCCGUACCGCAAACCGACACAGGUAGUCAAGAUGAGAAUUCUAAGGUGAGCGAGCGAACUCUCGUUAAGGAACUCGGCAAAAUGACCCCGUAACUUCGGGAGAAGGGGUGCUCUUUAGGGUUAACGCCCAGAAGAGCCGCAGUGAAUAGGCCCAAGCGACUGUUUAUCAAAAACACAGGUCUCUGCUAAACCGUAAGGUGAUGUAUAGGGGCUGACGCCUGCCCGGUGCUGGAAGGUUAAGAGGAGUGGUUAGCUUCUGCGAAGCUACGAAUCGAAGCCCCAGUAAACGGCGGCCGUAACUAUAACGGUCCUAAGGUAGCGAAAUUCCUUGUCGGGGAAGUUCCGACCCGCACGAAAGGCGUAACGAUUUGGGCACUGUCUCAACGAGAGACUCGGUGAAAUCAUAGUACCUGUGAAGAUGCAGGUUACCCGCGACAGGACGGAAAGACCCCGUGGAGCUUUACUGUAGCCUGAUAUUGAAAUUCGGCACAGCUUGUACAGGAUAGGUAGGAGCCUUUGAAACGUGAGCGCUAGCUUACGUGGAGGCGCUGGUGGGAUACUACCCUAGCUGUGUUGGCUUUCUAACCCGCACCACUUAUCGUGGUGGGAGACAGUGUCAGGCGGGCAGUUUGACUGGGGCGGUAGCCUCCUAAAAGGUAACGGAGGCGCUCAAAGGUUCCCUCAGAAUGGUUGGAAAUCAUUCAUAGAGUGUAAAGGCAUAAGGGAGCUUGACUGCGAGACCUACAAGUCGAGCAGGGUCGAAAGACGGACUUAGUGAUCCGGUGGUUCCGCAUGGAAGGGCCAUCGCUCAACGGAUAAAAGCUACCCCGGGGAUAACAGGCUUAUCUCCCCCAAGAGUUCACAUCGACGGGGAGGUUUGGCACCUCGAUGUCGGCUCAUCGCAUCCUGGGGCUGUAGUCGGUCCCAAGGGUUGGGCUGUUCGCCCAUUAAAGCGGUACGCGAGCUGGGUUCAGAACGUCGUGAGACAGUUCGGUCCCUAUCCGUCGUGGGCGUAGGAAAUUUGAGAGGAGCUGUCCUUAGUACGAGAGGACCGGGAUGGACAUACCUCUGGUGUACCAGUUGUCGUGCCAACGGCAUAGCUGGGUAGCUAUGUGUGGACGGGAUAAGUGCUGAAAGCAUCUAAGCAUGAAGCCCCCCUCAAGAUGAGAUUUCCCAACUUCGGUUAUAAGAUCCCUCAAAGAUGAUGAGGUUAAUAGGUUCGAGGUGGAAGCAUGGUGACAUGUGGAGCUGACGAAUACUAAUCGAUCGAAGACUUAAUCAA
rnacentral:rRNA from 1 species